rnacentral:rRNA from 1 species
CUUUCCUACGGGAGGCAGCAGUGGGGAAUAUUGGACAAUGGGCGAAAGCCUGAUCCAGCAAUGCCGCGUGAGUGAUGAAGGCCCUAGGGUUGUAAAGCUCUUUUACCCGGGAUGAUAAUGACAGUACCGGGAGAAUAAGCUCCGGCUAACUCCGUGCCAGCAGCCGCGGUAAUACGGAGGGAGCUAGCGUUGUUCGGAAUUACUGGGCGUAAAGCGCGCGUAGGCGGUUUUUUAAGUCAGGGGUGAAAGCCCGGAGCUCAACUCCGGAAUAGCCUUUGAAACUGGAAGACUUGAAUCUUGGAGAGGUCAGUGGAAUUCCGAGUGUAGAGGUGAAAUUCGUAGAUAUUCGGAAGAACACCAGUGGCGAAGGCGACUGACUGUACAAGUAUGACG